rnacentral:misc_RNA from 1 species
GAGCUCGAAGCCGAGCGUCGUCCAGGGAUGUGAGCAGGAAGUCCUGGGCACCAAGAGAGAGUCGUAGGGGAGGAGCUCGGCAAGGUGCGACGGCCAUGGGAAAAACCUCGGUGGGGUCGCGGCUCGACGGCGCCCGCAGCCGGAGCAAGCACCAGAGACGAGCACGACGGGGCGGCUACCAGCGAAACCCAUGGAGGCGUCCAGGGAGAGGAGCGGUAGGUGUCGUCACCCGCUGGAGCAGAGAGAGAAGGACAGCCGGGCAGCAUGGGAGAGCUGGAGAUGGCCGGUGGCGCGAGCAGGGAAGGAGCAAAGGCCGAGCUUGGCGGCCAUGGCGAGCAACAGGAGGGUGGCCAAGCUGGAGCCGGCGCGCGCAGGGAGGAGCUAGGGAGAGGGGCGAGCUCGGUACUAGAAGGAGCGUGGAGCUGGGCGCCGAGCGGCAACAGGGAGGAGAUGGGACGGCACGCAGGGGAGCUUCAGGGCGCGCGGUUUGGGGAAGACAGAGCGCGCGCAGAGAAUAUCAGGGAGAGGGAGAGAGAUAAUGACAGGAGGAGAGAAAAAAUCUCCAUGGCGCAUAGGAGAUAAUGCCGGCUGAGAAAAAUCAGAGGGAAGCGGCGGCGGUGAGAAAAAUCAGGGAGAGAGAACGGCUGCAGAUAUUUUCCUUUUUUUUAAUUUCUUUUUUUCUUUCUUUUACAGAAAAUCACAGAUAUUUUGAAUUGGGAUUUUUAGCGAUGAAUAAAGGGUCAACGUGCUAUA